CCUUCAUGAAGUUGGCCUUCUUCCGGUGUAGUCCAUGAUGCCCUUUUUGUGGAGGUCCCGAAGGCGAGUAACCGCCGCGGUGGCUUUCGAAUGACUCUUCCUCAGCCUGCAAAGUUCAUCGUCCAUCUCUUUUGAUUUUUUCGUUAAGUGACAAACUUUCCUUCUGAGAUCCUGGAUCAUUGACUUCAGAAGAAUCCCCUGCGGCAG
rnacentral:lncRNA from 1 species